GUCAUCGACAACACAGGGAGCACGAGUUUAACAAGCAACGGCCUGACUAGCGUCCGGUGUAAUAAUUAAUACAAGGAGGAAGCGAAACUGUUCUGCACUUUUUAUUCAUUCACCCGAUGAAGAAUUAGGGAUGCGGCUGAAAAGCCUAUUCGCUGAAAACAAAAUCGAGGAGCUACCUUAGCGCUAUCGGGUAGUGGUGCACGUAAAGGCUGAAGAAGGGUCGUCCCCAGCAACUCUGAAGCUUCUGGAACGGCAGAACGAGGGGAUGGACUUCGAAGACUGGGUUGUUGUAAAAGGCAGGAAAAGUAAAAGAGCGUCGAGCGCCCACUACGCUACACUGAUCGGCGACAAGACGUUGUAGUGCCUCAAAGCCUACAACUGUAAAGUUGCUCGAGAAGAACCGCAAGGAUGAAAAUCAAAGUAACGAGGAAAUCAAGGGUACCCUUUAAUAACUCACAGGACGUACGAGAUAGUCCAAAUUAAUUUGCUUCACAGCAAAAGCGUCUCAGCUAUCCACGGCAAGAUGCUAGCUACGAUGCAGACAGCCAUAGCUCGCAUUCAAGAACCAUGGUUAGUGGAUGGAGAGGCCUAAAGGGUUAGGGAAAGUUAUUCCAUGCGAACCCCAAGGAAAACAGGAUAAGGGCUUGCGCCCUUAUCAAAGGGAUAGAAGCGACUUUCCUACCAUAACUCAAUACCGGUGUCUGGUGGUAGGCAGAAUGAAAACCCAUCUACAAGGAGACCGAGUCUUGGAGUGCAUAAUAGGGUCAACUUAUUUGCCCUACGAUUCCAUAGAGCUUUCCCCGACAUAAGAAUUAUGGUCUGAGGUAUAAUAAGUUCUGAAAUUUCGUUCGAUUUUAAGACAUCAGAGAAAUGACGUGACUUUUUCGUCUUUUUCGGUGACAGAACUCGAAAAUUUACUUAUUCCCCGAAAACGAUGCUCGCUGGCCGAUUACGUGAAAUGUUCCAUAAUUUUUCUUGAAUGAUAACUGGCAAAAAUACGGCGGAACUCUUGCCUCCUCAGAACUUUAGUUCCGGUGUUCACCAUUAAAUGGGGAGAUGGUAGCGUUAUAGGACGCGCUAAUAUGCAAUAGUAUAUUGUACAUCAAUAAUCAGUAAUCAAUAAUCCCAUAUUGUACAUAGAAGAGGGGAAGUUUUAUAUAUCGAGCACCACCGUCCUUCAUACGGUAAUCAUUUCUACAUAGAAGAGGGAAUGUUUUUAUAGCAUUUUUUUGACGUCAAAAGAGUCGGAUAGGAUUUGAAAAUAUGAUGUUUUUCAUGCUAUUUUUCAAUAUGCCUGUAAAUGGAACUUCGUGUUUUGCUGCCUGAACAGCGGGGGAAAAAUGAACACUUUCUACAGUAGGGUGGAAAGUUGCUCCCAAGGGCGCAAAGUUUUGACUUUCCGAAGGACGGAAAGACUUGUUUAACCUCGUUGGUUCUCCAAGGAUCCGCGGACAUAACUUUGAAUUACUGUGGCUGUGGCAAUUCAGUGGGGUGCUGGUCAUAAACACUCCCGCUGAACUUUUAACCCUAAAACGUACCCUUAAAUACCUCACCGAUCCGUUCCUUAGGGGUGCUGGCACUCGCAAUCAGGCCGUACAUCAUGGUGAGAAUGUGCAAACGGUGUUCCCAUCAAUCUACGCCGCAUGAUAAUUUUUAUUGUACAUAUGAAACCUCCAGUUGGCCCGGGAGAAUACGAGAUUUUUCGCGUGGCUUCUAAUCAGUAAUUUAUUUUUUAUUUCCUUUUUCUCCACCAUUAGUGAAAUCGCGGAUUGGCUACGCCUCUCUCUAUCUUUCGCAAAAACUGAUACAUGUCACAUGUCAUAUCAUUUGGAAGCGAAUAAAAUAAGAUUUAAAAUGUUUAUAAAUUCGUCGCCGCAUAUUCAUCGAAGUAGGAAUUAUGGAAAUUUAUAUUUAUCCAAUUGUUCGCCAGGUUUGUUACAUCCAUAUGACUUUUGUUCCUGGAUGUAAUUAUAACCACAAAUUCAAUCAAACCCAUUAUUUGAGUCACGUUAUUUAAGGACGUUCUGCCGUUAUUUUCUUAUUUUUCCUAUUUUUCUGAGAUUUCUUAAAACCUAUCGAUCGGAUUGGGAUACGAAAAUAUAGCGCUUGUCCGUUACAUCAUGAGUUAUCCUUUCACAAAGUUUCAUCCCGAUACACCAAUUUUGAUAACUUUUCACUAAAAUUUAUUGAUUUUUUAUUAAAUUUUAGUGAAAAGUUACAAAAAUUAGUGUAUCGGGAUGACACUUUAUGCAAGAGUCAAUCAGAAUAACAGG